rnacentral:rRNA from 1 species
AUGUCAUGGUGGACUGGGCCGUCGUUCUUGGCCGCGCCGCACAGGCCGCCCUCCAUAGCAGCCGCUCCGUCGUCCUUGGCGCCGCCAGCCGCAGUAGCAGCAUCAACUAUGGGGAGGAAGGGGAGGAGCAGGGAAGCGCCAUGGGAGGACGGGCAGGAGAGAGGUGGUGCUAUGGGGAGGAAGGAGAAGAGCAGGGCUGCGCCAUGGAGAGAGGAAGGGAAGGAGAGCAGCGACGCCAUGGGAGCAGGGGGAAAAGCAGGGCGGCGCGACAGGGAGGAAGGGGAGGAGAGGACCAGCAGGGAAGAAGCAGUAGCAGCGCUGUCGGUGGAGAAAUCGGUCAAGAAUAAAAAAAGUGUCGCAUAG